UACGUAGGGUGCGAGCGUUGUCCGGAAUUAUUGGGCGUAAAGAGCUCGUAGGCGGUGUGUCACGUCGGCCGUGAAAACCUGCAGCUUAACUGUGGGCGUGCGGUCGAUACGGGAAUCACUGGAGUUCGGCAGGGGAGACUGGAAUUCCUGGUGUAGCGGUGAAAUGCGCAGAUAUCAGGAGGAACACCGGUGGCGAAGGCGGGUCUCUGGGCCGAUACUGACGCUGAGGAGCGAAAGCGUGGGGAGCAAACAGG
rnacentral:rRNA from 1 species